GGAUGUGAGGGGGAUGUGGCUCUUGGCAUCUGUCAUUUCAUUGAUGGUCAGGUUUGGUUUCAUUGAUCUGGAUAGCAGAGCAUCUGUUCCCUUCCUUUUUUAUGGCACCACAUAAAUAACUCUCCAAGAUGUGAAGUGGGUCAAAGAGGAUGACUUUCCCUGAUAGAGGAGGAUGAUUGUUGGAGCAAGGGUUAUAUGAGUAGCCUUAUAGUUCUAAUAGUUCCAUAUUAGAACUAUAUGGGAUAACCAAAUGAGGUUU
rnacentral:sRNA from 1 species